GCGGGUUAGGGUUAGGGUUAGGGUUAGGAUCGACCACUCAAGACUAGCUAGCGCGGACGCUCGACUGCUCGUUCGGGUCCGCGCUGCUUUAGUAGUACCGAGAUAUCUUCUAAACAAUGAAUAUAUCACAGCAACUGAUUGCACAUCACAAGGUUUAACGGAACCUACUGAAGCAAGCCAGCACGCUUGCAGUAUUACCACGGGCGAUGGCGAGACUAAGACGUUGGGAAAGCCAAGCGCCCUCACAGACAUGAAUAUAUUAUUAAACAGAUACAACCAAACAAGCUAUUGAGGGUUUCGGCUGAAACACGAACAAGGGAGGUAACUCUAAAGCAAUUUGGAAGCCGCACACACGCUUGCUUCGGCUGUGGAUAGAAUUCUGAAGACGAUCCACCACUCUGUGAUGAAUGCCUUCACAGUUGUGAUUAAACCGACUCUGCUGCUUCCACACCAAGGUGACCUGGCUACCGAUUGUCCAGAGAUGUAGCGCUUGUACAGACGAAAAAUAAAUAUUGUUAUUUGUUUCG